CAAGUACCGUGAGGGAAAGAUGAAAAGGACUUUGAAAAGAGAGUUAAAAAGUACGUGAAACCGUUGAAAGGGAAGCGAAUGGAGUUAGCAAUUCGCCCUGCCAGAUUCAGCUGCUCGUGCUUCGCGACGUGCGCGCUCUCGAUCCGCAUGGACGAGACGUGUGUGGGUGCGAUGUGCAAACGGCGCACUUCUGGCGAGCGAGCGUCAGCGUCGGUUGUCGACGGGGGACAAGGACACAGGGAAGGUGGAUCAGCCAACUUGGCCGAUUGUUAAGCCUUGUGAUCACAUAGCCCGACGGCGACCGUGGCUCUGCGACGCGUGCCUGGCUGGCGACUCGAACGGAUCGGUCCGGCAUGUCGACUGGGCGGACGAGACUUCUCUGUGCGCUCAAACUGCUGCCGGUCGAACGGACGAUGUUCGCACACUACGCGUCGAGGAUGCUGACGACCAUACGGCUCCAUCCGACCCGUCUUGAAACACGGACCAAGGAGUCUAACAUGUGCGCGAGUCUCCGGGUGAUCGAAACCCGUGGGCGCAAUGAAAGUAAAGAUCGUCCUAGACGAUUGAGGUGAGAAGCAAAUCCACGGAUUUGCGGCAUCAUCGACCGACCUAUUCUGCUCUCAGAAAGGUUUGAGUAAGAGCGUACCUGUUGGGACCCGAAAGAUGGUGAACUAUGCCUGAAUAGGGUGAAGCCAGCGGAAACACUGGUGGAAGCUCGUAGCGAUUCUGACGUGCAAAUCGAUCGUCGAAUUUGGGUAUAGCGGCGAAAGACUAAUCGAACCAUCUAGUAGCUGGUUCCCUCCGAAGUUUCCCUCAGGAUAGCUGGAGUUCAUAAUGCAGUUUUAUC
rnacentral:rRNA from 1 species